AGUGAACGCUGGCGGUAGGCCUAACACAUGCAAGUCGAACGGCAGCACAGUAAGAGCUUGCUCUUACGGGUGGCGAGUGGCGGACGGGUGAGGAAUACAUCGGAAUCUACUUUUUCGUGGGGGAUAACGUAGGGAAACUUACGCUAAUACCGCAUACGACCUACGGAUGAAAGUAGGGGAUCUUCGGACCUUGCGCGAUUGAAUGAGCCGAUGUCGGAUUAGCUAGUUGGCGGGGUAAAGGCCCACCAAGGCGACGAUCCGUAGCUGGUCUGAGAGGAUGAUCAGCCACACUGGAACUGAGACACGGUCCAGACUCCUACGGGAGGCAGCAGUGGGGAAUAUUGGACAAUGGGCGCAAGCCUGAUCCAGCCAUACCGCGUGGGUGAAGAAGGCCUUCGGGUUGUAAAGCCCUUUUGUUGGGAAAGAAAAGCAGCAGGUUAAUACCCCGCUGUUCUGACGGUACCCAAAGAAUAAGCACCGGCUAACUUCGUG
rnacentral:rRNA from 1 species